UUACUCCCAUCUCUCCUCCCUGGUUGUAGAAUACGAGUUUACACAAACCCUAUAUUCUUCUAUUUCAACUAAAAUCUUCGGAACGAUGGAAAAUCAAUGAAGCCAUCUUCCUCUUUUCCAUUGUAUAUUCUCUCUCUGUCUUUCUUCAAUUUCAAUCGCAUCUUCCGUUUUUUUUAAAAAGAAAUAUUUUAAUUGUUUCGCUUUAUUUGUUGCUGAGAUUAAUUCAAGGGGUAAUAUAAAUUUAAUCGUGUAUGAGUAAGAUGUGUUUAAUUGUUGUAUGAAAUUGAAUUCGAUCCCGCAUAGAAGGAAGAGAUGGAUGUAACUAAUGGUACACUAUAUAAAGUAUGGGGGUUUGCUGUUAAACCAUCCCUAGCGGUAUGUAUGUUGACGGAGGCUAUGACCCCUACUGCAUUAUAGGUGGCAGCUCUUUUGGUGUCUAUUGUCGUGUUUAGGUAGGUGGCAGCAGCUCCUUUGGAGAAAUUGGGAAGGAAUGGAACUGAAUUGAAGA